AUACAAGCGCGCAAGUAGGAGGCCAACUAAAUACGUGGGACCUUCAUCAAAAGACGUCUCCAACUGAACGCGAGCGAAAAGAAUGUUAAAUUAUGCGCUAACUAUUAAAAUUAAACAUUUGUUUUAAAUACAGCCAGAUAGUCGAGCGAAAAUUCUUUACAAACGGAGCUCAAAUUUCAAAAUGUGCCAUCAAAAACCCGUUAAUACAAAACGCUUUAAGACGGUGUAUAAGACACAUUUUUUUGUAUACUUAAAUGUAACAAAAAGUUAUCAGGCGUCAAAUGCUACCGUAUUAUAAGAUGCCGGGUGUAUGAGUGUGUGAUGAAACAUAUUAAAUUUGUUUUCUCCACAAAAUAUACUUUUUCUCACAAAAAAGUAGUCAGGUUUAUCUAAUAUACAAGAGUACGUCUUAUAUACCGGUAAAUACAGUCAUGGAUGCGUGUUACCAUGAUGGCUGUCAAAAAUAAACGACGUUCAAAUUUAGCAGAUAUUGUGUCAAAUUAUCGUAUGUUUAUCGAAAAUUGAAUUUUCUUUUGAUUUUCACAUAUUUUAAAAGGUAUUACAAUCAACAAUUUAUUGAUAUAUGUUAAGUCAAAUAACUUUCAUUGGUUAUGGUACUGCCUCUGUAACAAUCAAUUGCAGGAUCUUUUCGGUUUGAACGGCAGUUUUUUCUAGCGGUGUCAUAUGAAAUUGUCACCCAUAAUUAUGACCUUAGUAUUGAUCUAUUGCAUUUCAAUCUAUUUUAGGGUUAGGGUUAUGGGUGGGGAGAAGGGUAUCUUUUUUUCUUCACAAAUGUAAAUAAACCCAAUCUGUUUCUUAAACGAGGGACAUAUUCAUACGGCAUAGAAUGUUGUUUACCUCAAUGGACGUCAGUGAUUGGUUGAAAUUACAGAAAUUGAAGAAAAAAACAACAAAUAUCUUACAAACUAUAGAAUUUUCUCAAUAAAGCCAGGAGAAAAAGAUGUUUUAUAAACACAUUCUACCAGUAUACGAAGUUUAAAAGUGUUUAGUUACCUAGAAAUUAUGUUAAAAGCUGCCGUUCAAACCGAAAAGAUCACAAUUGCGUUAACAGGUAAAAAGCUAUGUUAGCAGAAUGAUCAGGCGAGUGAGAUUAACUAAAGUAACGCUCACGAUUGAGCGAAUAUGUGUGUGUGUAUGUAUAUGCAUAUGGUUAAUAUUUUUUAUAACACAUAAAAUGAAUAGUAUACAUUAAUGUAGGACAAAAAAUACUUCUCGUGAAAAACAGAAACAACUUUUUUAGAGAAUUUUUAGAGAAUUCGACUUGAGUAGGCAAAAUAUCAUUUGCAUUGAUACUUGAAAAUUUUUUAUAGUUAAAUGUUAAAGAAAGAUGUACGAUGGUCACGUGUGAGCAACGAGAGAGAAAAAAGAAAGAGGGGAGAGAGAGACAGAUAGAAAACGGUGAUGAGGAGAAAACAGUAUAAAGUAGAGUCGCAUCAAAAAGGUAAUGAUAAACUUACUUGGAAAUGCAAGCGUGGCGUUCAAUUAAAUAAUAAUAAUAAUAAUAUAUAUAUAUAUAUAUAUAUAUAUAUAUAUAUUUGUACCCAUAUAUAUAUAUAUAUAUAUAUAUAUAUAUAUAUAUAUAUAUAUAUAUAUACUUUAUUCAAAGCAGCAGAAAAUUCAACAAAACCUGUUACUCUGAGUUUCCCGUUGCCGUUCAUCGGACAGUUUUUGCUAGAAUAAUAAUAAUAAUAAUAAUAAUAAUAAUAAUAUAUAUAUAUAUAUAUAUAUAUAUACAUAUAUAUAUUUGUACCCAUAUGAACGGCAACGGGAAACUCAGAGUAACAGGUUUUGUUGAAUUUUCUGCUGCUUUAAAUAAAGCAUAUUACUCUACCACUGGUAUUUGAGUACUCUUUUUUCCACCUUGUUUCACAUUUAUGUGUUUACUCCGGUAUAUAUAUAUAUAUAUAUAUAUAUAUAUAUAUAUAUAUAUAUAUAUAUAUAUAUAUAUAUAUAUAUAUGUUUGUAGUGAAGGCGCAUGAUUCAGUGGUUAGAGCGUCGAGCUUACGAUCGCGAGUUUGUGAGUUCGGAUCCCGGACCAGGCUGCGUGUUGUGUUCGAGCACGACACUUUAUUUCACGUUGCUCCAGUUAACUCAGCUGUAGAAAUGAGUUGCGACGUCACAGGUGCCAAGCUGUGUCGGCCCUUGCCUUUCUCUUGGAUAACACUGGUGGUGUGGAGAGGGAGGGCCAGUAUGCAUGGGCGACUGCUGGUCUUCCAUAAACAACCUUGCCCGGACUUGUGCCUCGGAGGGUAACUUUCUAGGUGCAAUCCCAUGGUCAGCCAUGACUGAAGGGGGUCUCAGCAUAUAGCACGCCGGGCGAAAUGCGUAGCCGUAUUUCGUCUGCUGUUACGUUCUGAGUUCAAAUUCCGCCGAGGUCGACUUUGCCUUUCAUCCUUUCGGGGUCGAUAAAUUAAGUACCAGUAACGCACUGGGGUCGAUAUAAUCGACUUUGUCUGUCCUUGUUUGUCCUCUCUGUGUUUGGCCCCUUGUGGGUAGGAAAGAAAUAUAUAUAUGUUUGCUCAUCACCGCAGUGAUUUCCUCUAUAUCCUUGACGCCACCAGAAGGGUAGUACUAUGGAAUUUAAAGUCUUAUGAGUUCAAACGCGUUGAAACUACUAUGAGUCUAAUAUUCAUGGCCGAUGGGAAGAUUUCUAUGGUCAUUUAUCCUUUGUCCCUUAUCUUUUUCCAUUAAGCUUUUCCGUGUUCCACUUUCAUUUUGUCAUUUGAUAUAUAUAUAUAUAUAUAUAUAUAUAUAUAUAUAUAUGUAUGUAUGUAUGUAUGUAUGUAUGUAUGUAUGUAUGUAUGUAUGUAUGUAAUGCAUGUGUGUGUAUAUAUAUGUAUGUGUGUGAGUAUGCAUGUGUAUACAUAUAUAUAUAUAUAUGUGUGUGUGUGUGUGCAUACAUAUGGUACGUUACGGACAUAUCGGGCUUUUAAGAGUACCUGGUGUAUUUUCUAAUAAAUUUUACUGCAGUGACAGCCAAAAUCUAUGGCUUUAUAACAUAAUAAAAUUUUGCAUAUUAUAUAUAUAUAUAUAUAUAUAUAUAUAUAUAUAUAUAUAUAUAUAUAUAUAUAUAUAUAUAUAUAUAUAUACAUAUAUACAUGUAUGUAUAUAUCUAUGUAUGCAUGCAUACAUAUGUUUGUCUAUGCACGUUUAUAAAUACAUGUAUAUAUGUGUAUACAUAUGCGUAUAUAUGUUUACUUAUGCAUGUCUAAACAAAAUUAAAAUGUAUCGGCAUUCUUGUAUGUUUCUCGUAAAUUGCGCUAACGAGAGACUAUCUAAACCCCUGGGACCUUCAUCAAAGGCAGUCUCUAACUGACUGCGGGCUAAAAGAUUUUGAAAUUAAGCGGUAAACGAUAAAAUGAAAAGAAAUGUAUAUUUUAACUACAACCAGAUAGAGUUGUAAAAUUUCUUUACAAAAAAGAAGUCAAUUUCCAAAAUAAGUCAUUAAAAAUAUUGUGAGAACGACUCACAAGUAACAAGUAUUAUGCAUUAAUACUGAAAAAACACUUCUUAUGAAAACAUGGGCAUACUUGUGUAAAAUCAUGUUCAAUGGUAGGCAAAAAAUAUGAUCUAUCCCUAAAUAUCGGUAGUUGAAGAUAUACUUAAAUCUGUUUAGUACAUCAAAAUAGAAUCUACACACACGCAUGCACGCACGUGUACGUGCAAACACACACACACACGGGUGUAUAUGCUGUGCUGGGAUUGAAAUUCUUAGAGACUGCUUCUCUCGGAAUCGAUCCUCUUUUUUGUAAACAGAAUAGCAAAAUAUAAACCAACAAUGUAAAUAAGUAAAUCGACGACUUAUAUAUCAAAAGACAUUUUUAUUUAGCAUCAACUUCAGUUUCAUUGCACUUUUUAGUGGUUGCCUUUCUCUCUCUCUUGUUUCCAGCUGUAAGAUUUUUUACUCAACUACCUCUGUGUGAAAAGUCUGGCUGCAUUCGAAAGAUAUAUAUUAUGAAACAAAAAUAAACACAAAAUUUAUUACACGAAUCUGUUACCACCACGACAGUCAACUAUUUGACGCCGAACACGAGUUUGAUGUUGAAUACAUCCACGAAUUUUCCGCUCAGAUAGCUCUUCCCAAGACUGCAAGACGGAUUCGUGCAAUUCAUGCCUCACUAAUUUGUUCACCUCACCUGCGAGCCAUCUAAAGUUAAUAAUGAUUCUGCUAAUUCCACGUGUAAACAUGUGUUGAAUAGAACUCACUGAAUAAAUCUUUAUUAACUGUGUUGUCAAUUGUAUGCACCUGACAUAUGCUAACGUGUAUGCAGCCAGACUUUUCACACAGAAUCUGCGCAAUCUCACAAAUUCAUCGGUAGGCCAAUCGAAUUAGUUACUAUAUCAAUUGCCACAUUUUUUUUUACUUGUUGGUGAUUCUUCUUAUCACAAUAUACAAUGUUUCUCAUCUAAAACUCUCUUUCUGUUUCUUCAGAAAUUAGAACGAUCGUAUAACUGUAUUUUAUCUUGUUCUGUAAUUGAAAUCAUAGUAUGGAAAUUUUGGAUAACGUUUUCGACACAAUCCUGGAAGUCAUUAACACAUAUCUUGUGAUAAAAUUGUUUGUAGAAUUCUUCUAAUUCUUCCCCUACUCUUUACCAGAGAACAACAAUGUCAUCUAUGUUCAAAUAAUCUAGGUUAACAAUAUAUGCCUAGAUUCAGGAAUUUUAUUAGUUUCUUGAGCAUUAUUUAUUUGAUUUUAUAAUACUGAUAUUCAGCAAUCUCAGCAGUCUUUGGCGAAAAAGUUUCCUGAACUUCUUUUUGUCAACUUCUUAUUGCUAAAAUGCAUUCAAAGAAAUGGUUUCAUUUAGUUUCCUUUCUUAUGUACUCCUUCUAUCUUAUUGACUUUCGAAAGCCUUAUUAAUUCUUUCAUUUAUGGUAGAUUUAAAUUUCUUCCAUGAAGGGAUUUUAUCAAUAUUUGAUAGCUAAAUUCCUAGAAAAGAUUUGCCGGAAAGGCUGCUAGUCAUUCUUGCAUAUUUUCACACUAUACUGGAUUCUUUUAUUCUUUUAUUUGUUUCAGUCAUUUGACUGCGGCCAUGCUGAAGCACCACCUUUAGUCGAGCAAAUCGACCCCAGAACUAAUUCUUUGUAAGCCUAGUACUUAUUCUAUCGGUUUCUUUUGCCGAACCGCUAAGUUACGGGGACGUAAACACACCAGCAUCGUUUGUCAAGCGAUGUUGGGGGGACAAAUACAGGCAUACAAACGUAUACGCACACACACACACACACACAAAUAUAUAUAUAUAUAUAUAUAUAUAUAUAUAUAUACACAUAUAUACGACGGGCUCCAUUCUACUAAAUCCACUUACAAGGCUUUGGUCGGCCCGAGGCCAUAGUAGAAGACACUUGCCCAAGGUGCCACGCAGUGGGACUGAACCCGCAACCAUGUUGUUCGUAAGCAAGCUACAUACCACGCAGCCACACCUACGCCUAUAUUGAUUAUUUAGUUGUUACUUUUUAUUAAACCUUUUUUUAAACAAAAUCAACGAACCACAAUCUCCGCAGGUUUGCUUGCUCGUCUUGAUGCUAUAACUCUACCAAACUUUGGGAUUUCUAAUCCAAAGUGACCUGAAAUAUUAUUAAGCUUCAUUUGGUUUGUAUUUGAUGCGUGAAAGAUUUUGUACAUUUCAUCAAUAAAUAAAUAUUUUAAAGUGGUUUACUUGUUUUAUAUUUUUGACAGAAUCAACCAAAACAAGUUGCAGACAAAGCCUCGUGCAUUGCCAAGUUAUGACCUCAGGAAAAUCAUUCUCAAGUUUAGUACUCAUUCCUGAAUUCUUGCCAAACAUUGCACUUCAG
rnacentral:lncRNA from 1 species